UUCCGGUUGAUCCUGCCGGACCUGACUGCUAUCGGAUUGAUACUAAGCCAUGCGAGUCAUUGUAGCAAUACAAGGCAGACGGCUCAGUAACGCGUAGUCAACCUAACCUAUGGACGGGAAUAACCUCGGGAAACUGAGAAUAAUGCCCGAUAGAACACUAUGCCUGGAAUGGUUUGUGUUCCAAAUGAUUUAUCGCCGUAGGAUGGGACUGCGGCCUAUCAGUUUGUUGGUGAGGUAAAGGCCCACCAAGACUAUUACAGGUACGGGCUCUGAGAGGAGUAGCCCGGAGAUGGGUACUGAGACACGGACCCAGGCCCUAUGGGGCGCAGCAGGCGAGAAAACUUUGCAAUGUGCGAAAGCACGACAAGGUUAAUCCGAGUGGUUUCUGCUAAAGGAACCUUUUGUCGGUCCUAGAAACACCGAUGAAUAAGGGGGUGGGGCAAGUUCUGGUGUCAGCCGCCGCGGUAAAACCCAGCACCUCAAAGUGGGUCAGGAUGAUUUAUUUGGGCCUAAAGCAUCCCGUAGCCUGCUUUGUUAGUUUUCGGUUAAAUCUAUACGCUCAACGUAUAGGCUGCCGGGAAUACUGCAAAGCUAGGGAGUGGGAGAGGUAGACGGUACUCGGUAGGAAGGGGUAAAAUCCUUUGAUCUAUUGAUGACCACCUGUGGCGAAGGCGGUCUACCAGAACACGUCCGACGGUGAGGGAUGAAAGCUGGGGGAGCAAACCGGAUUAGAUACCCGGGUAGUCCCAGCCGUGAACCAUGCAAACUCAGUGAUGCAUUGGCUUGUGGCCAAUGCAGUGCUGCAGGGAAGCCGUUAAGUUUGCCGCCUGGGAAGUACGUACGCAAGUAUGAAACUUAAAGGAAUUGGCGGGGGAGCACCACAAGGGGUGAAGCCUGCGGUUCAAUUGGAGUCAACGCCGGA
rnacentral:rRNA from 1 species